UACGGAGGGGGCAAGCGUUGUUCGGAGUUACUGGGCGUAAAGCGCGCGUAGGCGGUGCGGUAAGUCAGGGGUUAAAGGCUGCAGCUCAACUGCAGUAAGGCCUUUGAUACUAUCGCGCUAGAGUACCAGAGAGGAUGGCGGAAUUCCCGGUGUAGCGGUGAAAUGCGUAGAUAUAGGGAGGAACACCGGUUGCGAAGGCGGCUACCUGGCCGGUAACUGACGCUGAGGUGCGAGAGCGUGGGGAGCAAACAGG
rnacentral:rRNA from 1 species